GACAAGAGAUGAAAAGAAUCUGCCCACUCCAUCAAGCAAUGGGUACAACAACACAGGGCAUUCACGGGACCUCAUGGGACCACGGACCGCACCUGCAGAAACUGGACAACAGGGAGAAGCAGAGGAGAUACCUAUCAUAGACUUCUCCCAGCUGACGCUUGACAUACCACCUACGCCACCUCCAGUGGUAGAAACAACCAGCUGGUAUGAUUGAGUGGAAUCAGCCAACAGUAACACGGAAGCAGCAAUGUGAGAGUCAGUAGUGCAUGACCUUAAAGGGUAAUAAUAGGAAGCUUCCGUUUAACACACAGGCCUAAGAUUACGUAGGUCUACAGCCCCAGUGGGAACUUCCCCUUUAAAAAGAUAUAUAAAGAGAACAGAGAUCAUAAGACAGCAUGAUCCUCACUAACAUAUGAAACAGACUUCAUAUGGAGAAUCAUCAUAGGUAAAUUUACUAUUGCACAAUAUUUUGGGAACCGGAUAUUUUUGCUUAAGUACUUAUUGGGUCAUACUCUGAAGAAGCUGGUUGAAUCUUGUGAACCCGACUGAGUCUCCGAAAAACAGAAGUCUAAACCACCUCUUGAUCACAUAGACAAAGCGGGCGUUCGCAUUUUUGACACCAGAAACCAGAGGUGACUAGCAAUUCAAGGAAAAACAGCCAAGUACCAGUUACCAUAUAUUGCGUCUAUGCACAGAGUUGGAAGUGAAUAGUAUUAGGAUAUACACUUUUUGUUGGACUAGAACAAUAUUUUGAGAGCUGGAUAUUUUUGCUUAAGUACUUAUUGGGUCAUACUCUGAAGAAGCUGGUUGAAUCUUGUGAACCCGACUGAGUCUCCGAAAAACAGAGGUCUAAAACACCUCUUGAUCACAUAGACAAAGCGGGCGUUCGCAUUUUUGACACCAGAAACCAGAGGUGAUUAGCAAUUCAAGGAAAAACAGCCAAGUACCAGUUACAAUAUAUUGAGUCCAUACACAGAGUUGGAAGUGUAUAGAGAUACUGGAAUUCGGAAUCUAGCGUCAUAGCUGCAAGAAUACCGAUUACGGUAAAGUGACCAAGGGGCUGAGCAUUUAAGGCAAGGUUUGAUGCAUCAGAAAUACGUAGGUGGACUGGACAUUGACAUAUGGACACCUUGGGAGUGUGUCGAAGAGCCACAGCAUGUAAUGUGGCCAAAGCUCUCCUGCGAGACAUCAUUCCAAUGUAGGGGGAUGUCGGUAGACAUUACGUAAACAAGAUUGUUCAGUCCGUAUCAGAAGCAGGUUGACUUGAGACCGCACUGUGCCUGCCUCCCACAGUCAGGGGGUGCUGUACAACACGCCAUGUAUAUAGUCCCGCUAUUGCUUUUUAAUGCUGCUCUUUAAUCAUUUGUUGUUCUUAUCUCUUACUUUUUUGUUGUUAGUAUUUUCUUAAAACUGCAUUGUUGGUUAAGGGCUUGUAAGUAAGCCUUUCAUGUGACAAAUAAAAUUGGAUUUGAUUUGAUAACCAAACGCUAAACAACAAAAAGUACUCCCUUUGGCACUGAUGAGCAUGAGAGGUAGGUCUCACACUGACUGGUCUCUCCCCACACGAGGUACUAACUGGACUCCCCAUGUGAAUGACUAACAGUCCUUUCCCCCAAAAUAGGUUAACCCUUCAAGGAAUGGAGGACCCGGUGGCUUAUUGUGUAUCUCUUAACAGUGUUCUUAAUACUCUCUUCACACAAGUGAAGGCUUCUCUGCCGAACCUUGCAGGUGUUGCUCACCGCAACGUGAAACCAGAACAUUUCAUUGUGGUCAAAGAUCUUCAAAGAAAAAGUUGGAAAGAACCCAGGUGAAAGGGAGCAUACCAGGUGCUCCUGACCAAAUCCUCGGCUGUCAAGGUAGCAGAACGAGAUACGUGGACACAUACAUCCCACUGCAGGAAGUUGCGAGAACCAGGAAAUCAGAAUGGUGAGGAGGAUCGGUGAAUGCGAAAGGACCUGUUUCUGGAUUGGUCUCACAUGAUAGUGGAGACCUUCAUCUGCCUCCUGCUGGUCAGUAAUGACCUAGAAGGAUCCAGGAACCGUCCCCAGCCAACGGGACCACCGCAGGCCCGGAGUAGAGGCACAGAAGAAGCUGGUAAGGUUGUGAGAGGAAAACAAGACUUCAAAGACACUAUGAACUCAUUCCUUUCCACAGCACAGAUGGUGGCGAAUGGACUCUCCCCAAGCACUUCCUGUUGGGUCUGUGGGCUAGGCUCAUAGGGGGUAGGUGAUGGGCUCCCUUUACUGGGUGUCCCAGCCGGUGUAAAUUAGACUUUUCCAUGCUUCCAGCACUGAAGUUUACAAUUCCCCUCCUUGACGACCGAACCUUAUUUUGCUUUUUCUAACCAAACUUGGAUAAGUAGUUAUAGAAGACCUUGUGAAAAUAAAAUCUGUCCCACACCCAUCCCAAUAGAAUGCCGGUGUAUACAGGGUAAUGGGUAUGUCUACCUAGGUGAAAAUGUGUGCAAUUGUACAAUGGACUGAUGGAGAAUCAAAUUGAUCACUGACGGUUUAUUAUUUGCAGAUGGGCAGACUGUGUAACAGUGUUCUUCUCAGUGCUUCAUAUAACCUUGGAAACAAGUAAAUCAGACCCUAAUGGGACCUAUUGGUUAUGUCGGAACAGCGCAUAUUAUGUCCUACCAGAUCAUUUGGGGGUAGUGUGUACUAUUGGAUUCGUUGUUCCUGCUUUGAGAGCAGUGCCAGAUGACGUAUAAUUCAUUUCCCGGGAUAUUGUCCCCCUGCAGCAGUGCUCACUGGCAGGGAUUACUCAUAUUCAAAUGGCCCUGUCACAAUUUACUUUUGUAAUGCUCCCUAAUUAUGGAGUGGCUAAUGCUAUGUCAAAAGCCCUUUUAAGGCCCUCAGUACUGAAAUGGUAGCACUUCAAAAAUUGGCCUUACAAAAUCGUUAAGCUCUAGACUACCUAUGAGGAAGUCAGGGAGGAAUGUGUGCAGUCAUGGGAGAUGAGUGUUGCACCUUUGUUCCUGACUCGUCUAUGAAUGUCACCUACUUAGCAGAUUACAUAGCAGAGACUGCUUGAGGCACUGUGCUCUUCUUUUGUCUCACAGGUCUAAGCAACUAUUAUGUCCACUGUUAGUUUGAUUUGGCUAAAAUAAAUGCCAUCUGCUGAUGAGAAUGAUGAAGAUAAUGAGGACUACAAGGAACUCACUGAAGGCCAUGAAGAGCAUGACCAUGUUCCCCCCCCCCUGCUUAUGGUGAUAGAAUUGACAUAAAUGAAAUUGUGUAAUGAAGCAUGUGUAUAACUGUAUGAAGCGAAGGUCUUAAGUUAAACCAUUCUACUGCAAUGGUUUUACAAGUGUAAGGGCUAUGGAAUAAGCAUCAGUUACUAGUCAGAUUGUACAACCCAGAAUGAAGGGUUUGAACGGAUACAGUGUCUGGUUUUAUGUGUUGAUUUCAACCUACUUUUAAUAGAAGUAUUUUGAUAGAAGGCCCUUUGAUAGUUUUAGCCAUAAUCUAAUGCUUACCUUAAAAUGUAACAAUAGUUAUCACAGAGUGAUAAAAGGAGUGUGAUGUAAACGUUCUCUGUGUGUAUCAGAUCGUAUGUUUAGUAAAAUGCUGCUUUGUGAUAA